CUGGUGUGUGGGAUCGGGACCUGGCACAAAAAGUGUAUGAAAUAGGUGAUGUGUGUGUCAGGCUUGACAGAAGGGAGCGACCAACAAUGCAACCAGUUUUUGAGGAGCUGCUGAAGCUGAGCGACUUGUUGAAUAGCCCUGCAAGUUGAGAGGUCAUGGCAACCUACCAAGUACAGAUCAAGUGGUGCUCAAUGAACAGUGCUGUAUAAGUACAACCACCGAGGUUGUAUUGUAUCAGUUAUAUAAAUACAAAUUUUAUUUUUGUAUGUGUUUCUGUAAUUGUACGUUCAGAAGCCAACAUUCUUGGUAAUGAGAUGCAGCGCACAACCAUUGCUACCUACAUUGUCCUGUUGUAGUUUUUCAUUACCAAAGUGUGCACCAAUACGAUAUUUCCUGUGCUGGCAUAUUUUGUUACAAAUGUGGCAGUGUGCGGUUUUCAGUAAGAAACGAGAAGCAUUUCAUCCUAUACUUUAUUACAUGACUUGUCAGGCCUAGGCAACAUGACUCCAUGGAAUUAAAAACAGCAGAAAUCAACUAGACGAACAGAAGUGCAGUUAUCACAGGUGCCAAAAAGAACAAUUUUAGUGUCAGUUCUUCAAUGCGGCAGAAGUUCAGAGACAAUUGAUGACCACGUCUUCCCCUAAAUUUUGAAUCCUUAUACAGGCAUGCGAGGUUUGAUAUGCCACAGAAACUUGCGUGACAAGACAUUCAUUCUGCCGAUGCCUACUAACAGUCAAGUCAGGUUGGUCCCAUAAAUGCCCGACAGAUCAAGUACAAACAAACAAACAAAAUUUCCCCUACCAAGAAAUAUGUACAAUAAGAACACACAGUAGGUCACACGCACAAUCUAGGUGGAGCUU
rnacentral:lncRNA from 1 species